CCUACGGGAGGCAGCAGUGAGGAAUAUUGGUCAAUGGCCGGGAGGCUGAACCAGCCAAGUCGCGUGAGGGAAGACGGCCCUACGGGUUGUAAACCUCUUUUGUCAGGGAGCAAGGUGCAGGUCGGGACCUGCUGUGAGAGUACCUGAAGAAAAAGCAUCGGCUAACUCCGUGCCAGCAGCCGCGGUAAUACGGGGGAUGCGAGCGUUAUCGGGAUUUAUUGGGUUUAAAGGGUGGGCAGGCGGAGGCAAAAGUCAGCGGGAAAAGCGCGGGGCUCAACCCGGCCGAGCCGUCGGAACUGGGGGCCUUGAGUGCGGCGGAGGCAUGCGGAAUGCGCGGUGUAGCGGUGAAAUGCAUAGAUAUCGGGCAGAACCCCGAUUGCGAAGGCAGCGUGCCGUGCCGCCACUGACGCUGAGGCACGAAAGCGCGGGGAUCGAACAGGAUUAGAUACCAUAGUAGUC
rnacentral:rRNA from 1 species